GUACUCUGGAAACUGAAAGGAUUGUUAUGUAUAUCUAUAUAAUUAUGGAAUAAUUUAAUGUUUUAUUCCAAGAGUAUCAUUUAAAUUUGUUAAUAUGUUUUAACAUUAAUGUAGUUUUAAAUUUUUAAAUAACUAAUUUAUCAACUAAUUUAAAAAUAGUAUGCUCAUUUUUUUACUAUUUAAUAUUUCUGAAUAUUUUUUUGGAAAUCAUAUCUAGUGGCUCAUGGACCUAUUUAAUGGCAAUGAAAUGAAAUACUCCAGAGUUUGAAGAUAUAAAAGCAUAGAAUACCCAAUUUAACCAAUACAACCCCAAAACUAAAAUCUAGAACUCAACUACUCAAAUUAGAUGCAUUUGAACUUGCGAUAUCCUUGGUCCGAAAUUGGAUCCACAGAAGAGGCUUGAUAAUAAAGUUUUCUUGGCUGCAUGCUUAUGCUUGGUGCUUUGAAUGGAUGGUGAAUUUUAGACAAUUCAUCAUGUCGAGAACUAUCUUGAAGGUAAGUAACUCUAGUUAUAUGAACUAUAAGUUUCUUGAUAAUGUUUGCUUUUUUGCAAGUAAGAUUUAUCUCUUCUGUUGUACAGAUGUCUCAAUCAAUUUUUAUCUUUUAGGUAUUUGUAAUGACAGGAAACAUUAAAUGGGACUAAAUACAUCUGGGCAUUUAAUUUUGAUGAUUUAUACAUCAACAUGAUUUCAGAUUAAGUAUGAAGUACAUGUAUCAGUAACCUAGAGUAUAACAAUCUAGAAGAGGUUCUUUACUAUAAUUCAUAAUUGGUUUUCAAGUGGUUCAAAGUCCUUCAUGUUACUAUGAUGACAAAUAUGUUUGUAUGAAAGACAAGUUAGCUGCCAAGAUCUUCAAAUUGUAUACAUUUUAUUUUGAAACUGUUAUUGCAUUGUGUAAGAUAGAUGAAUGCUCGAGGUUUAGGGUGCAUUUAGAAACACAUUUAAAAUGUGCAUUGAGUGCCUAAUGCACAUUUCAAAUGUGAUUUGGUGUUUGUAAGUUUUUUUCAAAUUGCAUUUGGCCUGGAUGCUUCAUUACAAAUGUUCAAAUGCUGAUGCUAUCUCGGGGUAGCAUUAGCAUUUCGGCAUUUGCAGAAUGCUAAUGUAAUUUUUCAAAUUCCCAAAGUAUCCUAUGACAUUAUCUAAAAUCACAAAAUUACCUACUUGAUUUAGUGAGAAACUAACAUGAUUUGUCUUCGAUAAUGUGAAAUUUUAUUUAUUUAUUUUUAAGGAUAAUUUUAUAUUUAUUUAUAUGAUUAUAUUAUUUAUUUAUUAUGUAUCUAAGUCAUAUAAAAUUUCUUAUAAGAUUACAUACAUUCAUUUAUUUAUUUUCUUUAUUUACUUAUUAAUUUUUUGUCACAUAAUAUUCAAUGGACUUUUGAAAUACAACUUUACCAAACAACAUUGACGUCAAUACACAUUUAAAUUUAAAAUGAAGUUUUUAUCUAUUAUUUACUAAACACUUAGAGUAUUCCAUAAAUGCAUAUUCACUCGAGUCCCAUUCUCCAAAUGCACAUUAAAAAUGCAACUGUAUUCCCAAACGCAAGCUUAGUACUUUCUUGCCCAGACUUGUCUACCUUGCAGAGAGGUUCACACAAACUAUGAUUUGUCUAUUUGAAUAGAAAGAGUCAUAAAAGAUUCAGCUAAGAAUUUGAUUUAAUAAAUUGUUAUAAUAAUUCUAGAUCUUAACUCAAUGUGUAAAAUUGCUUAUGUCCUAGUUUGUACUCCUUCUAGGCUAAUGUGCUCGAGAGUCAUCAAGUUGUUUGCAAUAAAUACAAGGUGCUAUUAACUAAAGUAUGGGAUUGGCUUAGGUUUGGCAUGAAUUUAUAUCAUACUUGAACCAAUUUAAGAUGUAUUAGUACCCGGUCAAUAAUGACUACAUGGACCAUAUUUUGGUACAUUUUCUUACAUGGACCUGUUAGCAGCAAUUUAUGCCAAGAUUUGCAAUUGUUGUAAAGCGUUUUUUUUCUACUGGAUCAUGCAAUUAGUUUAUCAUAUACCUGAAGAUAAUAUAAUCUCCUUGUUGAAGUAAUGUAGUUAUUUUUUUGUCAGACACAAAGGUUUUCUAGUUCCAAUGAAAGAUUUUCUUGUUCUGGUAUUAUUAUUAUUCAUGGAAAGAAUUUUUUUGCUAUACAUAUGAAGGAAUUUGAAAUCUUGUGUACCUUCUACUGAGAUGUCACUUUCGCUGGUACUAGAAAACCUGUCCCUGUUAUAAAAUGGACAAAGGAGUGAGAAAAUUGUCACUUUACCUGUUAAUUGAAAUAACUACAUGGGUCUUCUACAUUUUGUAUCAGAGUUUAAAAGGUUUGGCCCACCUCAUAGAAAGAUUGCAAAAACUUAUUCCUCUAUUCAGAUUUCCUUAUUAGAUGAUGACAACCCAAUCUAGCAUGUUAAUCGCUAAGAGCCUACCAUUAUGGUGUUACUGAUAGUUAAUUAUUUAAUGUUAUCUUAACUAAGUAAUGUGAGGAAUCCACAUCUUAAAUGUACAUUAGCUAGAUUUAAUGUUGUACAGUUUUAAUCUGUUUUCCUAGACUUGACUUUACCUUCUGUUGUAAAUGGAUCUGGUUUUCUUGUUCAUGAGCACGGUGCCAUUGCUACUCUGAUCUGUGAAGGGUUUUAUUCAACCAACUCAGGUGUUUAUUCAUCUAACUCCUCUUCAUCAGUCCCGUAAUGUACAGGCUGAUGUUCAAAAAUGUUCUUUUGGGUUUUCAAGCAUUUAGCAGCCAAGUAAAUUGUUUCGAAUGCUGGCAUGAUGGUUUCGUAUAACUGGUUGCUUUGAAGUAUUAAAUCAAGCAACCGAUAAUCUCGUUGCCUUCCUUUGUAGGGAGGGAAUGCGAAAUUUGAAUUGGGUGUUUUGGGAACUUGCUCACAUCUGCAGACCAACUCCAAGUUGUGUCUGCAAAGUCUGUCUGGCUUGUAACAAGCAAAAUCAAGCUCCUGCAUGUGCCCGAGAUCAACUCACAGCACUUCGAUUUGUCUUUUCUCGAUCUUGGUCGGUGUUGCCAGAUGGAUUUGGAUUUUUAUAUUCAGAGCAGAACAUGUCAAAACCUCGGUGGCGUUUGAUGCAACCAUCUUGGAGUAAUUAAUAAUGGGGUUCUUGUCUUUUUGAAUCCACCGGCAUGGAUCAGAUCACCAGUUCAGAUUCUAAGGAUGCUCCACUUGGUUUCCUGUGACUCUCUUCGGGCUUUGGCAUGUAUAGUAACAUCAAGUCUCAGUUCAGUUAAUGUGUUGGGCAUCAUCACUAUACUAUUUGGUGACUCGACCACAGCAUCCUGACAGUGCCACAAGGGUGGGUCAGUACGCAGUUGAGUCCAUGGCUUCUCGGAUUGGCUUGUCCAGUCCAGUGAAUGCUGGCUGCUUCUACUGCUCCACCUGCCAGUCUUGGGAAGGUGAGCAGCAAUCAAUGCUGUGGAGCUCAAUUUAUGGGCAUGAGCUUCGCUUGAACUGAGCCAUAAGCCAUAUGGUAGGUCCGUCCUCAGUUACCAUUUCUGAGGUCAUAUUACGAAUGCUGGAUAAGCCUGUGACAGGUACAGUGAAGAAGGUGCUUCUGUGUGUGUGUCAGCAGCGGUCCAUUCAUCAGGCUAAUUAUGAGACGGCUUCAUCAACCUGCACCAGUCGAACGUCUCUUGGCAUCCAUAAGAAGGGUGGUUAAGUGACAUCGAAUCGGACGUCGUCAGGUUUGGAUAAUCUUGUGUGCUUGAAGGCUUACCAAGGAAAAUACUGUGUGGCUCUAGGUUUGCAGAGCUUGAGUUUGGUGACUGCCUUGUACGACUAAGGCUUCACAUGCUACGUGCAAAAGCUGUUCAAAAAGGAAAAGAAAAUGAGAAAAAUAAGUUAGACAUUCCCAAAAGAAAGGUGCAUAAAAACUUCCGUAUGAUGUGAUCUGACACAAGUCAUUGCCAACUUCAUGUUUGAGGAUGACAACCUCUUUAAUGCCCCCCAACCAACCUUCUUGCUUCCGGUGACCCAAGACCAGGCCGUGGCGUACCGUGGAGGGGGACAACCUUAGAAGCACACCAUGGAGAGUAGAUUUUGGUUUUUCAUUUGUUAGAUUAAGAGCAAAAUUUUAAGAUAAUUAUUAGGUCAGGCCGGAGUAUUGUUUUUUUUUGGCUGUUAAGAAGAAGCAUAUAAUAAAAAAUAUG